rnacentral:rRNA from 1 species
AGUCGAGCGCCCCGCAAGGGGAGCGGCAGACGGGUGAGUAACGCGUGGGAACGNACCCUNUUCUACGGAAUAACCCAGGGAAACUUGGACUAAUCCCGUGUGUGCCCUUCGGGGGAAAGAUUUAUCGGAAAAGGAUCGGCCCGCGUUGGAUUACCUAGUUGGUGGGGUAAAGGCCUACCAAGGCGACCAUCCAUAGCUGGUCUGAGAGGAUGAUCAGCCACAUUGGGACUGAGACACGGCCCAAACUCCUACGGGAGGCAGCAGUGGGGAAUAUUGGACAAUGGGCGCAAGCCUGAUCCAGCCAUGCCGCGUGAGUGAUGAAGGCCCUAGGGUUGUAAAGCUCUUUCACCGGUGAAGAUAAUGACGGUAACCGGAGAAGAAGCCCCGGCUAACUUCGUGCCAGCAGCCGCGGUAAUACNAAGGGGGCUAGCCGUUGUUCGGAUUUACUGGGCGUAAAGCGCACGUAGGCGGAUCGAUCA